rnacentral:misc_RNA from 1 species
GAAAUGCGAUAAGUAGUGUGAAUUGCAGAAUUCAGUGAAUCAUCGAAUCUUUGAACGCACAUUGCGCCCCUCGGUAUUCCGUGGGGCAUGCCUGUUCGAGCGUCAUCUACACCCUCAAGCUCUGCUUGGUGUUGGGCGUCUGUCCCGCCUCCGCGCGCGGACUCGCCCCAAAUGCAUUGGCAGCGGUUCCUUGCCCCCCUCUUUGCGCAGCACAUUGCCAUUCGAGGCGGCGGCGGCCCGCGUCCAACAAGCUCAACCCCCCCGUCUUUGACCUCGGAUCAGGUAGGGAUACCCGCUGAACCUAAGC